AAAACGAAAACACCCAGCAGGAUAAGUCAAAAGAAAUGUCCCAAGUUUUGAAAAUUGAAAUAUUACUUGAUGAAGUGGAGAAUUUUUUUUUCAGUUUUCGGACGUUUCUACAUAUACUUCGAAGAAAGGGGGGUGGAAGUGAAUUUGUGAGGAAAUUAACGAGGCAAAUAACAUUGACCACAAUAGGGCAGUCGGAGAAGUGAAAAAGAAAUGACCCUCAUAUAUGAGCGAGACGAAAAAGAAGGCUGCACAAAAUCAGCGGGAAGCAUUCAUUUCAGGCAUUAAAUUCUACCCAGGAAAACUAUUGGAAUAGUUGGGACUACUCUCAUUACUGGCGUGAUGGCAGUAUCGACACCUGUGAGGUCAAUAUAUAUAACACCUGGGUGUCUGUACGCUGACAUGUACAUGCAAGCUCUCUCUCUCUCUCUCUCUCUCUCUCUCUCUCUCUCUCUCUCUCAGCUUUAGUGAGGUUCAAUAGUAUAUGUAAAUAUAUUAUGUAUUAUUUAUGAACAUCUUACCAUAUAUAUAUUUUGAUUUCACAAACAUGUGCAGUUGUGUGAAUGUCGAAUGAAUUAUAACCAUGGAUAUUUCUUGGAAAGUAGAUUAAUGUGCAGGUACAACCUGGACAUCUGUAGAAACCACAUGGUGUUGAUACAAUUAAAAAAAUCAUGAUUUUGCAGUUCUAGUGUUGUGCCGCUUUGUGAUUCGCUAGUAUCACGCGAUCUGUCUGCUGAACCCGGGCCGUCAAAGAAAAGGAAGACGGAACACGACAGCGGUGAUUUUGUGAGAAGAAAUUAUUGAACAUUGAGGAGAGAAAGCUUUCACUCAUGCGAGCAAUGCUAGAGAUUGAGAAGGAACGCUUGGAGUUAGAUAAAAUUAGACUCCACUUUUUGACACUCUUUACCCGCCUAAAAUAGCUUUUAAAGUUUAUUGUUAUUUCGGAUUUUAAAAAUGUCGGUUGAGCAUCACUGAAGCACUGAAGAGGCAUUAUUUGUCGAAAUGCGCAUCUAGUGCAAAAUUGGCACCGUAUAAAUUUUACAUAAACAGAGACUAACUAUUGAUCGAGACAAAGCGUCAUCAAGUUUACCUGCCGAAGCAUGGAGUUGCUUUUGAAUGAUGUACAAUGGGCGCGACCACUUUUGCCUCAGACAGUCUUAAGCCAGAGCCUGUCCUAACUUAUAGGAACUUUCUUAAAUUACUUAGAUUUAAGAAGUGCCCUAAAUCUUAAGACGCUUCUUAUUCUUAAUUAAGAUAUGAAUGUAACUUCAUUUAUAACAUGCCUGAUGUUUUUACAAUUUUCGUACUAAGGAGCGAGUGUAUGCAUGCGCAGAAAUAUCCUGCAUCCACCACCUUAUACCUUCUAUAUCACGCCCUUCACCUUGGCAGGUGUAUUGCUAAAUUCAUCACAUCUAUUUAAAGAAAAUGGAAAACCCCAAUGCUAUUAUUGCUAGAUAUGAUGUUGCCUUGUUUUGAAAUACCGUUUUAGAAACGGGUUUUAAGCUUAUCUAAAUACAAAGUAUAUCCUAUGUAAAAAUAUUUUAAAUUCACUAAGUUAUUUAUAAAAAAUAUGUCUUUCUUUAAUCAAAAAAAAAAAAAAAAAAAAAAAAAAAUGAAAUAAAGAAAAAUGAUUAUAUCGAUCAAAAUUCGUAUCCAUGUCCAUUGAAACACGCAGUAUAACAUCAGCUGCGGAUCCUUAGCUCUCUGGGAAAACACUGAGUUUGAGAAAGAGUACGGACUAACCAGAGCGUCACUCCCAAUAUUUUCCGCAGAGAGAGAUACAUAUCUACAGUAACUUACAGUAUAUUACAUAUUAUAAUAAAACAAAUGAUAAUGUGAAAGAAACAGGCCCGGGUAGCUUGUCAAACGAAGCACUAUGGCAUUUCGUAAAACCGAUUUUUUUUUAUUUCCUUCAUUUAGUACGUGUACCAGCUAUUGAUAGGACUGAUUAAGCCACUAAAGAGUGUACAUACACGUAUCAAUAAUUAGUGACAAUGCGCCCUCUGGUCCCUGUCAGUGGAGUUUAACGGUAUAUAUGACAGACUCUAUAGAAAAUAAAGACAAAAAGUGAUGUGUUAGACAUGUCAGACGGUAUUCAGUUAUCCACGUCGAUUUCAGAGUGUCACCACAAACAAUCCUCAGAACAAACUUAACAGGUGCGUUAAACGCCCACCCCGUCACACUAGUUUACUACAAUAACAGACACUAUUCAUAUAUUUAAAGGUAAAUACAAAGCAAACCGACUACAAACCCCAGUCAAAACGAUUGGCGGAGAAAAACAAUGAUAUGCUGCAUUUGACAGCGACUGUGUCUAAAUUAUCUGAAAAAAAAUCGACAGUUAUUUUGGUCAGCCAUGACGAAAAAAAAUGAGAGAGAGAGAGUGAGAGAGAGAUUUUACAUAUCCUUCCUAGGUUUUGACUUCUUUGUGUAUUUUAAUGCAUUUUUUUAAAAAUCAAAGACAAGAAGUUUUAUAAUGAGGUGACGCCUAGUGACACAAUAAUUCAUCUACCCCCCCCCCCCCUCCCCGCCCCCAUCUAUACACAUAUAUUCCAACAACCCCCGGCACUUAAAAUGUCAGAUCCACAAAGUAGAUGCAAUGUCAUAAAAUCGUGUACAAAAAUUAUACGUCAUUGGCAUGAACAAAUAGAUUGUCAAAGUUUUAGGACGACCUGUACCUUCAACAGAACAAGCGAAAAUGUUUUAAAUAUAUGUUAAAUUAGAUUGGUUUACACUUUGAACAGUAAACAAUAGACAUGUAAUUUGUAGUGUUAAUUACGUAUCAAACUUGGUGUAGAUAUACUGCUCCACAGUUCACUAUUCUGAUAUAUUUAAGCUUUUUCGUACAUGUUUAUCACGAGGAAGGGGCACAUCGUCUAAAAAAAUUGACAAUCUAAUUGUCCGUUUCAUAAUAAUUUUGAUCAGUGAUUCAUAUGCACAUGACAGUAUAUAGUACCUGUGAAAUAACAUUUAAAUAGAAUGAGUAUUUUUUAAAAAUAGAUCCAGUAAAGAAAACAUUGUUAGAGUGGGAAUUUAAAUUUAAGUUCGAACGUAAAGUUUUAGAUGGAAUUAAGUAUCAUAACAAAUCACCCAUCUCCGUCUAUUAUGAUUUUUGGAACCUACUUUCAUUUUCCAAAUGUUUUUGGAAAUAACACAUCUUUCAAUAUUCAAUUAGUCUACUAAGUAUGUGAAAAUACAUGUUAAAGAUUCUACGCAUUGUAUGUUUCAUAUUUAUAUAUAGCCUGAUAUAAAUAGCUCAUGGGAAUCUCAAUCUUUUAGAAAAACAUAGACAAAGGUGACUUAUAAUACCUCAAAACUAACCCUCCUAUAAAUACUCCGAUACAUCCGAAACCGAAAGUUCAAACUCAUUGUCAUAUGUAAUCAUUCAUGCGCAUUGCAACAGUGUUUACUGAUCCUAAUGCUGUAAACAGAACGAAAGAGCGCUGAUUGACGUCAUGGGUAGCCGUAAUUACUCAUCAACUCCAGAAACAACAAACGCCAACCGAGCAUGUCGUCUGCUAUUGGGUCCAUGCACGGACCAAUUACGCGAUGUCUUACGUCAGGAUAUCCCUCCACAUACUUUUUCACAAGUCCUCAAACUAAAAGCAAAAAAGCUACCCCGCCUCACAGCACCUUAAAUAGCUGUCAUUUCUCCAACCAAUGGCAACUACACUGGGAAUUAUGAGGACAUGGAUUUUUCGCUAUUGUAUGUUCUUCUGAGAAAUAUUACCAGCAUUCGACCACACAAUAAUGGAUAGGGCUGUGAUCCAAACCCGGGUGACACAUCUACCUCAGCCAACAUAGAAAGAAUUCGUUUGGCUCGAAAUAACUGUGUACAUUCGUCGAGUCCCGCUCUGUCGAAUGCUGAAUUUACUACGAUCUGGUCCACCGUCAGAUCGGCAGUUGUUCAUCUGGAUACUUUCCUCAAUAACGGCAACAAGUAUGAACAAGAAGUAGAUUCACUCCGAUACGAAACAAUGGACCCUGAACGGGAUCAAAUAUACUAUGCGGAACUUAAAAAACAAGCCCAAGAAGACCAGACUACGAAAACAAUGGUUGUCAACCUGGAGCGGAGAGUAGAAGAUACAGCAAUGAAAGUAGAGGAAUGUUUUGGAAGAGUAGAAGAGAAUGCAUAGACAGUAAAAGAAGUAAAAGAUCAAAUGACGAAAUUGAAAGAAACUUCAGUCCGCCCAAAUGAAAAAGGUAAGUAAAACACAAAGAAGCCAUUAUAAUCAGCAUAUGCUAUUCACAAAAUGUUUGCCUACGAAUAAAACGUAUAGAAUGAAUGCACAAUAACUUGAUAAUUUAGAGGAAUAUAACGAGAAAUGAUGACAUAGUCUGCUUGUGCCUUGUAUAGGUAUGACAGAUAUAAACCACUUGUUUAUUUGUUGUUUGUCGAUCUAUUUGAGGAUCUUUGACUCUGGUACCACACGAAUGUCACCGACUAUAGAUAUACCACUAUAUGUAGGAGAAGUACCGGUAUUACUAAGUUUGACCUAGGCAUAGCGUUGUAGGUCGCAGUAGUUACUGCACCACAGCUUAACGUGAUACGUGAUUUCCAUGGAUUUAAUGUUCUCAUCCGAAAAAUUUAUGUUCUUUACUCUUACGCCUGGUGGAUAAACCGUCACUAUCUAUCAUCUUAGAUAGAAUGACGUGUCCGCCAGGUAUCAAAUUCACACCCCCCCCCCCCUCCUCUGUUACAAUGCACUAUACUGCGACUGGUCAGUAUUUCAAUGAUUUGUUCGAGAAACACACAUACAACCUGAUAUAAGGUUGUUUUCAUAUGUGUGCACUACAGCAGAAAUGAAAUAAGAAGUGGAGCGGAGGGCAUCGUCGACCUUACUUUUACUGGAACCAUUUCUGUAAUGUGAAAAUAUAAUAUUCUAUCAUUAUUUUGCAAAAAAUAAAAAAAAAGUAUUUGUUUUGAAUAGGUUCAAUGAACACGGUGGAAAACAUAUUUAGCUCUCUUCAGGAUAUAGCUAAUGCUAUGGGGACGUCUGGCUCAGGACAGGUAAUCAAAAUGGAAACAAUCAUUUCUUUAUAGUAUGUAACAUGGAUUUCUGAAUUAACACUUAGAUAUGUAUGAAAUGCAAAUAUACAUGCAGUAACUAUCUUCAACAAAAUUGAAUGACUUCACAAUCAAAAACACAUACAUGCAUCAAAAUCUAAUCUAUUUUGCGCUAUUUCGGUUUUUGUAAGAUGGCUUUAAUCAUAAAACGUUUCCAAGUGAUGAGAAAUCUAAAUUCCUACAUUUUUUGCAGUCGUUAUACUCUGUCCGCAACAUUGUUUGUGUUAAAUCAUUGUUGGCACAUUGAAGAGCGUGAACUUUCAAAAAGAAAGAGUGAAGAUAACGAACAGUGAGCAAUCUCACAAAUCCUGUACAGAAUACAGAAACUAACAGCUAUUUACUGAUAUUUGACAGCUUUUCAUAGUCUUUACAUAAGAUGUAUACGUAAACAAUUGCACUCUAAUAAAUUCAAGGAAUGCAUUUCUUCCUUUAUAUCUCGAAUCUUAAUAUACAAGUGAACUCGAAAUACUUCCAUACCCUUUUUCAUAUCUGGACGUUUUACUGAUGAUAGGUGCUAAACAAACUCAACUUUAUAGUAAACGGAAAUAUUUCAACUUUUACCAUAAUUAUCUAUGUAACAAUAUUUCAUUAUCACUUGCCUGGUUAUGGUAUUCAUAUCUCCCAACUGACUCAAUACUUGAGAACAUGUUUUGCGCAAGACCAGUUUCUAUACCAAGGUAGACUACUCAGUUUUGUGUAAAGUCAGCGUUCUGCAAAUUAUGUGGUCGUCAUUGUCAUGACGACUUUAUUUGCAAAUAUAACCUGAUUUAAAAAUUGUCUGGAAUUUUUAUACAAGCUGUUAGGCGUUUUUUUUUCAUUCUGAUUUUUAUUACGAAUUACUCCGUUUAUCUAAUUUAGGGCUCAUGGUGGGUGUACACGUGUGCGAUCAACAGGAGAUCCUGACUCCUCCUAAGCACUUGAUCCCACCUCUGGUUUUUCCAGGGGUCCAUGUUAGCCCUAUUAGUGGUUUUAUUUUCUUUAUGACAUUUGUAAGAUUGAUCACUCUUUGUUUUCCUCACCUUUUUUCAUAUGCAAUUAUACCACAUUGGAAUAUGUAAAACUUAUACGGUACCAAUUUUGAUGUCUGUACAAUCGAAAUAUAGAGAAUUAUGUGUUAUACUAAAAACUUUCAAAGAAAAUUGUAGAAAAUAUCGUAUGAUAUGAUGAAUGCGUGAUGUAGUGACAUUUGUUGGAUUCAGUCUUAAUGUUUUAUCAUUAAUGUCUAGUUUUCAUCCGGAUGUUACUGGUAGCAGAAAAAAAGCUUUUGAUUUUACCGCCAUUGUAGAACGUAUUCCUUCAAAUACUUUUUGUUUGUUAAAGUUCGAUCGUGGAAAUGGAAAAAUGGUCAGCUGGUCCUUCAAAGGUCAGAUGAUGGGAUUCCAAUGGAAGUAUAUCGGAUUAUGCGUGGACACUACCACUGGAGAGACGGGUACUGCGGUCACGGCAAGCAGAGACGGAGCAAUCAAACAUUCUACAAAAGACUUAUUCCAGAAACUGACGGCCAAAAAUUUAUUGUAAUGCUCUGAUGAGCGUUUAUGUGCCCAGGCUUAUUUAUGUAUCUAUUCAGUUAUUUAAAAGAUAUAUUAAAGCUAAAUAGUACCGUCGUCUGUGCUGGUCUGUCCAUAUGUAGUAAAUGUACUAGUGCAAAUCGAAGAAUAAUACUCAUAUUCUUAUUCACCGACUGCUGUUCAUAAUCAAAAUUAUGUUAAUAAAAACGUCAUUGAUUGCUA